UCCUCAAGGGAAAUGAGUGACGGCAUGUUUUUUUUUUUCUUUCCCUUUCAUCUCACCCAUUGCUUUUCCUAAAAGCAUCAGAAGGAUUCCAAGAUAGAUACUUCUAUGCAGGUGACAAGACAGUCCAUGAAGAAGAAUGCAGUGACUACCACUUUCCUGGUUGUCCAAGGGCAAAGGCUGGAUGUCAAUGCUAUGAUCCUAGUUGUUUAUUUAUUGCUGCUCCUCAUCUGAUACCCCAAGGAAUUAAGAGUCCAGCAGGCUGUCAGCUAAGCCCAAGUGCUACAAGGCAACUACAUAUUUGAUUUUGGCCAUGUUACACUUAGCCAGACUUUGCCUAACUGAAGCUAACCCUAGGGCAACAGCAAAUGGCAGCAGGUGGUUCUAAGCAACACUUUGUGGUAUUCAUGUCAUGUUGCUUAAAGAUGUGAAAAGCCCAUGUCUACCAGCUUCCAGUGUUUGACAAACCAGAUUGUUGUUGUAUCAUAUUCGAACAGACAGCUCUAUCUGAGUGCUCCAUGGAAAGCUUUCACAAGC